rnacentral:rRNA from 1 species
CGACUAAGCGUACACGGUGGAUGCCCUGGCAGUCAGAGGCGAUGAAGGACGUGCUAAUCUGCGAAAAGCGUCGGUAAGGUGAUAUGAACCGUUAUAACCGGCGAUGACCGAAUGGGGAAACCCAGUGCAAUUCGUUGCACUAUCGUUAACUGAAUACAUAGGUUAACGAGGCGAACCGGGGGAACUGAAACAUCUAAGUACCCCGAGGAAAAGAAAUCAACCGA